rnacentral:rRNA from 1 species
GACGAACGCUGGCGGCGUGCUUAACACAUGCAAGUCGAACGGUGAAGCGCUUGCCUUUUUGGUGGGUGUGGAUGAGUGGCGAACGGGUGAGUAACACGUGAGUAACCUGCCCUCUUCUUCUGGAUAACCUCAUGAAAGUGGGGCUAAUACGGGGUAUUCCGGGUCUGUCGCAUGGCGGGUUUGGGAAAGAUUGCGCCUUUGGGUGUUUUCGGUGGGGGAUGGGCUCGCGGCCUAUCAGCUUGUUGGUGGGGUGAUGGCCUACCAAGGCGGUGACUGGUAGCCGGCCUGAGAGGGUGGACGGCCACACUGGGACUGAGACACGGCCCAGACUCCUGCGGGAGGCAGCAGUGGGGAAUAUUGCGCAAUGGGCGCAAGCCUGAUGCAGCGACGCCGCGUGAGGGAUGGAGGCCUUCGGGUUGUGAACCUCUUUCGCCAGUGAAGCAGGCCUGCUCCUGUGUGGGUGGGUUGACGGUAGCUGGAUAAGAAGCGCCGGCUAACUACGUG